GAUGAACGCUGGCGGCGUGCCUAACACAUGCAAGUCGAACGGAGAUGCGAUGUGAGCGAGAGGUGCUUGCACUGAUUAAUCUUUUCGUAUCUUAGUGGCGGACGGGUGAGUAACGCGUGGGUAACCUGCCUUAUACCGGGGGAUAACACUUAGAAAUAGGUGCUAAUACCGCAUAAGCGCACGGUGUCGCAUGACACAGUGUGAAAAACUCCGGUGGUAUAAGAUGGACCCGCGUCUGAUUAGCCAGUUGGCAGGGUAACGGCCUACCAAAGCGACGAUCAGUAGCCGGCCUGAGAGGGUGAACGGCCACAUUGGGACUGAGACACGGCCCAAAACUCCUACGGGAGGCAGCAGUGGGGAAUAUUGCACAAUGGGGGAAACCCUGAUGCAGCGACGCCGCGUGAGUGAAGAAGUAUUUCGGUAUGUAAAGCUCUAUCAGCAGGGAAGAAGAAAUGACGGUACUGACUAAGAAGCCCCGG
rnacentral:rRNA from 1 species